rnacentral:rRNA from 1 species
GAAUAUUGGACAAUGGGCGAAAGCCUGAUCCAGCCAUGCCGCGUGUGUGAAGAAGGUCUUCGGAUUGUAAAGCACUUUAAGUUGGGAGGAAGGGCGGUAAGCGACUACCUUGCUGUUUUGACGUUCCCGACAGAAUAAGCCCCGGCUAACUCUGUGCCAGCAGCCGCGGUAAUACAGAGGGGGCAAGCGUUAAUCGGAAGUACUGGGCGUAAAGCGCGCGUAGGUGGUUCGUUAAGUUGGAUGUGAAAUCCCCGGGCUCAACCUGGGAACUGCAUCCAAAACUGGCGAGCUAGAGUAGGGCAGAGGGUGGUGGAAUUUCCUGUGUAGCGGUGAAAUGCGUAGAUAUGCGGAGGAACACCGAUGGCGAAGGCAACCCCCUGGGCCUGUACUGACGCUCAUGCACGAAAGCGUGGGGAGCAAACAG